rnacentral:piRNA from 1 species
UAAAAAAGUUCAAGUAGGGAA